GAUGAACGCUGGCGGCGUGCCUAAUACAUGCAAGUAGAACGCUGAAGGAGGAGCUUGCUCUUCUGGAUGAGUUGCGAACGGGUGAGUAACGCGUAGGUAACCUGCCUGGUAGCGGGGGAUAACUAUUGGAAACGAUAGCUAAUACCGCAUGACAACAGUUAUUGCAUGAUAACUGUUUAAAAGGGGCAACUGCUCCACUACCAGAUGGACCUGCGUUGUAUUAGCUAGUUGGUGAGGUAACGGCUCACCAAGGCGACGAUACAUAGCCGACCUAAGAGGGUGAUCGGCCAAACUGGGACUGAGACACGGCCCAGACUCCUACGGGAGGCAGCAGUAGGGAAUCUUCGGCAAUGGACGGAAGUCUGACCGAGCAACGCCGCGUGAGUGAAGAAGGUUUUCGGAUCGUAAAGCUCUGUUGUAAGAGAAGAACGAGGGUGAGAGUGGAAAGUUCACACUGUGACGGUAUCUUACCAGAAAGGGACGGCUAACUACGUG
rnacentral:rRNA from 1 species